CAGGCGGUAUAUAUGAGCCACAGUCUCCACUGAAGUCACACACCUUUGAACACUGAUAAACAACAAACAGCAGCACAGAGUUGGAUUGAUUUUACAGAGGGUUUAAAAGAAUUUAUAAACUACAGACCAGAAAGUGACAGCAAUCAAUCAAAAAUGGAACUUCUGAAAACCGCCCUCGUCAUCGCCCUUCUUACAACAACAUCUGCUAAGCCAAUGGCUUUCAGAAGGCAUCAUGAUGCCGAUAUUCCCGACCACAAAAUGCAACAUUUCCAUCACAGGUUCACUGGGGACGAUUCCAACUCCAUGAGUUCCAGCGAAUCUUCAGAAAGUCAAUCAUCUGAGGAGGGGGGAUUUUCCUCCGAGGAGUCUUCCAAAGUGACCACGCCAGUCACGACCUCGACUGCGACGACACCCGUUGAAGAGGGGAGUACACUCCCUCCUGAAGUAAGCACAAUGGGCACUGAACAACCAAUUGUGAUGAAGACGACGCCCCCGCCAGCAACGCCAACCCCAUCUGUCAAUGCCACACCAACAUGCGAUCAGUGCUUUACGGUGCUGAUUCCAACAGCAGCUCCCAUUACUGACAACAGAGGAGACAACUGAGCAACAGUCAGACAACGAGAGCCGUACAGUUUGCUUUUUUAUAAAUUCUUUUGCUUGUAUCUAAAAAUGGCUUUAAAAAAAGAAGUGCUUGUGCACUCAUUUGACUGGUAUCAGAUCAUCACAAUCAAAACUCUGCUUUGUAUGUUGCAGUAACUUAGAAAGACAACAAUAAAAAGUUGGUUUAAAGUGAGAAACGUUGGACAUAUACAAUGAAAUCUGAUUCUUUAAAACAUGUACAGAAUGAGAAGUCCCAAUAGGAUGCUAAAUUAUUUUGAAUCCAUGUUUUUCCCUUGAAGAAGUAACAAAGGUUGUGUUACCUUUUAACUCCCCCUUUUUAGCAUGCACCCAGCAGAAUUAAGGGGCUUCUUACAUCUCAAAUUUAGAAGUCAAAAUAGUUUGUCAAAAUAACAGGGCAGAGAAUGUGAUGGCAUGAUGAUAAGGCAGUACUUUCUUAAAGCCAAUUUUGAAUUAACAUUGUAAUGUCUAUAAUGUCAAUUCAAAAUUAACAUUAUAGACAUAACACACACAUAUAUGUGUGUGUGUGUGUGUGUGUGUGCUACUAAAUGUACAUUAAGAUAAAGUCUUAAUCUUUCGCUGCUGUUUAGUCGUAUGAAAUGGAGUGGAUGACCUGCAGUUUUUAGGUAAAAGCUAUUGCUUCAUAGCAUAUUUCAUAUAAACAAAAGCACUUAAAUAUUUAAUUAUAUUACAUGAAAAUACUCUGUUUGCAUCUUUAUUGCAGCUUUGAGGACAAUUCUUACAGUGUGCUAAAAUAAAGUUAACUUCAGGUUUUCUGGAAAGAUCUGCUGAUAUGUUGAAAGUCUAAAGAUGUGUGGCCAAGCAGAAAAAAACAUCAGGUCAGCGAUGGUUACUGAUUAAAUUUUACAAAACAACAACAAAAGGUUAUUUCUCUUCAUGAGGUAUCCAGAAUAUGUAUCCCUCAGCAGUGUGUUUAUAGACUGGGGAGGGUGUGCCGUGUCAGCUCUUGUCUGUUGUCUGUACAUGCUGGUGAAGAGUCCUUACCACAGUGGGGUUCUGUAAUUGCACGCUAUAAAUGUACAUUUUCACAGAUUAAAUGUAGAACAGAGAGGCAAAAAAACACCUAAAUGUUGCUGAUUUGUGUCUGUUUUAUACUGCUUUGGACUUGUUUGGACCUAAUAUGCCUGAUUAUAUAACAACUGCUGAUUUUACAGAAAAAAAUACAGAAAUACAGAAAAAAAAAUACAGUCAUGUGUGUAUAAUCGUUAAAUUCUUAAAUUAAACGUUUUAUGCAGGUGAGAAAAAAUGCUAUAAACAAAGAAUGCUUUCAAAAAUGGAAGUGUUAAUCAUUUAUUUUUCAUCAAUCAACAAAAUGCAGUGAAUGAACAAAAGAGAAAUCUACAUCAAAUCAAUAUUUGGUGUGACCCCCCUUUGCCAUCAGAACAGCAACAAUUCUUCAUGGAGAACUAACCACAGAUCUUCAGUGGAUGCAGGCAUCCUCACAUCCUUCUGUCUCUUCAUCCCAGACACACUCGAUGAUGUUGAUAUCAGGGCUCUGUGGGGGCCGAACCAUUACUUCCAGUUCUUCUUUAUCCUGAAGAUAGUUCUUAAUGACGUUGGCUGUGUGUUUGGGGUCGUUGUCCUGCUGCAGAAUGCAUUUGGGCCCAAUAAACAAUCAUUUAUGUGUCUGAAAGCAUUCUUUGUUUAAUUGUAAUUGUAUAAAAAGUGGCUGAGGCUCUAUGGACAUCAUGCAUUAGUUAACAAAGUUUCGUUAGGACCAUCUUGAAAGGCUUUGUUGUGAAAUCAGAUGUGAAGGUCCAAUUGCAUGCUAAUUGUGACUCAUAGCAUAAGAGUUUUGUAAAUAAGUAAAUACUUUUUGCAAAAUGCUUUUAUUUGUAGUUUAUCCCUUUAUCCUUAGGAAUGUGCAAUAAAUGACAAUUUAUCACCACAAAAAUUCAAAGAACAGACACAAUUUGGCUAAUUGAAUUUUUAAAUUCACAGAGAACAAAAAUAGAUUAAUGGAAUCUGUUUUUUUAUGUUAAUCUAGAGAUUUUAGGGAAUAAAGCAAAAAAGAAAGAAAGAAUAUUAGCCUACUAAUGCCUCUCUGUCUCUUUGUGUGAUGCCUGGAUUACUCAUCAAGAACCAAAAUAGGGUUGUCUUAGCUGGGUGGAUAAGAAGCUCAGCAUUGAGCUAUAACAACAACCUAUCUAGCUCCAUCUAGUGGGAAUGGUUAAUUAUUACAGUUUCUGUUAGCUGAGGAAUUCAGUUUUUGGCAGAGGCCGUUAGGAUGGUGUGCAGAGUCAAAUCUGCAAGUAAAAUGAUCAAAGAAAUAAUAAAUAUAAUUUAAAACACAAAUUAACAAUAACAAAAGGGGUGAUGGUAAUAAUCUAAUAUGAAGUAGGGCAAUAAAUUCAAAAUUCUAAUAGCAAACAAUAUUCAAGUGUCAUGGUUCUGGUUCAUUUUGACCCUGCUUUUUCGGUUUCUUGUAUUUUGGUGUUUUUCUAGAUUAUGUUCAUUAUAUUUAUGUUGUGAUUCUUUAGCUAUCCUGUGUUGAGUAUUAUUAUUCUGGUUUAGGUUUUGUUCUCUUGCCCUCAUGUUUAGUAUAGGUUUAGUUCUGUGCUUAGUCUUCUCUGCCUGUGUGUCCCUCUGUGUAAAGUCCGUGUUUCUCAGUCUGCGUCUUUGUGAAUUGUUUCUUGUUUCCUGUUUUACUUUGAAAGUUCAUGUCUCAUGUCAGUGUGUUCAGUUUUACUUCUCCUCUGUCUCGUUAGCCUAAUUUCUCCCAGCUGUGUCUCCCUCCUGUUGCCCAUUCCCUGAUUACUCCCCUGUGUAUAUAAGCCCUGUGUUUUCCUGUGCUCUCUGUUGUGUUGUACCCUCUACAUGCUGUGUGUUUGCCUCCUGUGCCUGUUCAGUUUCUUUGUCUGUGUUCUGUUCUUAGCACCUUUGUUCAGAGUUUUGGUUUUGUUUGUUGGUAAGUUUAAUUUAUAAAGCAUUUUUUCCAGCAAUAAAAGUUGCGCUUUGAGUUUCA